rnacentral:lncRNA from 1 species
UUUAAAUGGUGAUGGGCUAAUAUGUAAUAUUCUUCAGUUUUAAUUAUUUUUUAAUUUUAUUCAAUGUAGAGCACUUUCUAUAGCAAUAAAAAAAAACAAAACAAAAAAAAAUAAGCAAAGAUAUUUAAGAUUGUAUUUAUAUACCCAGAGUACAUUUUAAACAUUUUCUAAUACUUGAGCAGAUGGGUGACUGGCUUCCAGAGAUGCCAAAAAUUAAACAUUCAAUACAUUCAACACAUAAGCUUUGUCCUGGUUUGCACAGCCUGGUGAGAAUCCUGAGGGUUCCCAGCAUAGUUGGCGUUUAGGGUCCCUCCUCCUCCCUCCUCCCUCAGAAGUUCUGAGGAUCCUCGACAAGGUCACUGUCCACGACACUAAUGAUGGAUCGCUUCUUGGUGUAAAGGAAAGAGUCACUCGGUUGCCAUCUUGAUGUAAAACAUUUUGUAAAGGAAAAUUUUUUGGUUUCCAGUGUCAAAUGUAUUUUUAACUGUCUGGUUUGUACUUUUUAUGAAUUUUGUACUACCAAAGCAGAGUUAAAAAUAAAAGCAUUAAACC